CUCUCCAAGCUGCUCCGAGGGGAAUGGGGAAUCGGCAGGAAAUGACCCGAACUGCCAGCCUGCGCCUUUGCAGCCGGCCCUCGCUUUGCUGAAGACGAGCAGCUCCCACCAAAGUCUUGCCUCCCCUUACCCCGAAAGCCCCGCUCAGUUCAAUAUUUCAAGUGAAAAUCUGCCUGUUCGAAAAGAAAAUAUUCACAAAUGAGCAGUGUAUUAGAAGACAACUGAAUUGCUUCUAAGAAUGGUGGGGUCUCACUCUGCCAUCACCCAGGCUGGAGUGUGGUGGCACCAUCAUGGCUCACUGCAGCCUUGAACUCCUGAGCUCAAGUCAUCCUCCCACCUCAGCCUUCCGAGUAGCUGGAACUGCAGGUGUGAGCCACCAUGCCUGGCUGAUUUGUCUUUUUAAAUUUUUUAUAGAGACCGAGUCUCAACUAUAUUGUCCAGGCUGGAAAAGAACUUCUUUCCCUCCAAGUGAUAACCUUUUCCAGACAAGUCAGCUUAAAAACUGACCCAAAGGCCCUGAAGUACACAGUUUUCUUGGAGAAAGAAAAAAAUAAGUGAAAAGGACUUGCUGACUUGCUAAUUCAUUUUGGGGCCUGUGGGUAACAUCAGAAUGGCAAAGCACUUGGGGCUUUUUUCUAAUUUGUAUUUUUUUAAUCUUCUGAGAAAUGACUUUUAUAUGCCAAGAUUCAUUCCAUGAUUAGUUUUUAUGACCAAGUUAUGAACGCUUUUGAAUAUGGGGACCUAGAAUAGAAAUGCUAACCUACCUGCAAGGAGAGCUCUGUGAUUGGCAUCCCCAUCAUGCUGUAACUGACACAAAAUAAACUUAGGGUAAUUGCCGCAUAGUGUAACUUUAAUGUGUGAGCAUACUGUAACAUCUGACAAGCUUCUUGAUCUAGAUCAGCAAUGUGUAACCCAUUCAUUGUUGUCACUCUCAACAAGGCCUUAUGGUCAAACAUCAUCACUCUCACUAAAGAGAUAGUUUACUGAAAUAUACUGAGAUUUUGAAACUGGAGUCAAGAGGUAGCACACUGUUUUAUGUUGAUCCAUUUAAUGGUCCUUGACAGCCAAUAAAAAGACACUGGAAGAAUACGUGAAUGCAGUAAUUGUUAAUAGGUCUAUUGAUAAUAUUUUCAACACCAGGUAGGGAGGGAGACAGGGAGG
rnacentral:lncRNA from 1 species